AAUAACCAAAUUUGGUGGUUUCACAAGUGCAAUACCCCUUUGGGUGUUGUGUGUAGUAGUUUUUAUUUCCGCUCUGACAAGGAUGAGGUGCUGCCUUCAAGCUCUUCUUAUUUUGUAAAGUUUUCUUUGAGGUUAAAUCACGCUUGUCAUUUGGAUUUGCUCAUUAUUCUCGUGCGGUUUUUCACUAAGGAUUAAUGGAACACAAACUGUGAAUAGGAAUGAAGAGGAGAUCAACAUAGGAAUGGGACUUAGUAUCAAGAAAUGGACUUAUAGUUGAUUAUCUACUUUGUACAAUGUGUUUUAUGUAUUUGUUUCAUUUGAAUUAUUUGUUAUGUGAAACCUUUAACAUGGAACUAAUGAAUAUUUAACAAUUUAAUA